rnacentral:rRNA from 1 species
UUCGAGAAGGGUAGGCCGAGCGCGUUGGUUGGACAUACGCGUUCAAGCCCGUAGGAAGAGCUGCUAGGACCCGAUAGGGACAAACGGUAGCUCGUGUUUCCGAGAGGUGAUGAGGUCCGGACCUGGUCCGGGACACUCGGUGAUCCCAUACUUCCAAGAAAAGCCGCGUACAGAGCCCCUUUCGUGUCCGUACCGCAAACCGACUCAGGUGGGCGGGGUGAGUAUCCCAAGGCGCGUGAGAGAACCCUGGUUAAGGAACUCGCAAAAUGACACCGUAACUUCGGGAGAAGGUGUGCCGGUCGCCGUGAAGAGCUUCGCGCUCGGAGCGGUAGCUGGUUGCAGAGAAACGGGGGUUGUGACUGUUUACUAAAAACACAGGACUCUGCGAAGUCGUAAGACGACGUAUAGGGUCUGAUGCCUGCCCGGUGCUGGAAGGUUAAGGGGACGUGUAAGCGCAAGCGAAGCACUGAACCGAAGCCCCAGUAAACGGCGGCCGUAACUAUAACGGUCCUAAGGUAGCGAAAUUCCUUGUCGGGUAAGUUCCGACCUGCACGAGGGCAUAACAACAUCCCCGCUGUCUCGACCAGGGACUCAGCGAAAUUGUAUCGGGGGUGAAGAUACCCUCUACCCGCCGCAAGACGGAAAGACCCCAUGAACCUUUACUGCAACUUGGCAGUGAUUUUCGGGAUGUUCUGCGUAGGAUAGGUGGGAGGCUUUGAAGCCGGGCUUCUGGGUUCGGUGGAGCCAACGUUGAAAUACCACCCUGGAUCUUCUGGAAAUCUAACCUAGACCCCUGACCGGGGUCGGGGACACUGCCUGGUGGGCAGUUUGACUGGGGCGGUCGCCUCCAAAAAAGUAACGGAGGCGUGCGAAGGUUCCCUCAGCCUGAUUGGAAACCAGGCGUAGAGUGCAAACGCACAAGGGAGCUUAACUGUGAGACCGACAGGUCGAACAGGUGCGAAAGCAGGCGUUAGUGAUCCGGUGGUUCUGUAUGGAAGGGCCAUCGCUCAUCGGAUAAAAGGUACUCUGGGGAUAACAGGCUGAUCGCGCCUGAGAGUUCAUAUCGGCGGCGCGGUUUGGCACCUCGAUGUCGGCCCAUCGCAUCCUGGGGCUGGAGCAGGUCCCAAGGGUUCGGCUGUUCGCCGAUUAAAGCGGUACGCGAGCUGGGUUUAAAACGUCGUGAGACAGUUUGGUCCCUAUCUGCCGUGGGCGCAGGAUACUUGAGAGGAGCUGCCCAUAGUACGAGAGGACCUGGGUGGACGUACCUCUGGUGUUCCGGUUGUUCUGCCAAGGGCAUAGCCGGGUAGCCAUGUACGGAACGGAUAACCGCUGAAAGCAUCUAAGCGGGAAGCCGACCUCAAGACUAGGUAUCCCGGGCCGUAAGGCCCCUAAAGACCCCUCGUAGACUACGAGGUUGAUAGGCCGGGUGUGGACGCCAAGCAAUUGGCGGAGCUAACCGGUACUAAUCGGUCGUGCGGCUUGACCAU